rnacentral:rRNA from 1 species
UACGUAGGGUGCAAGCGUUAAUCGGAAUUACUGGGCGUAAAGCGUGCGCAGGCGGUUGUGCAAGACCGAUGUGAAAUCCCCGGGCUCAACCUGGGAAUGGCAUUUGGGACUGCAAGGCUUGAGUUUGGCAGAGGAGACUGGAAUUCCUGGUGUAGCAGUGAAAUGCGUAGAUAUCAGGAGGAAUACCGAUGGCGAAGGCAGGUCUCUGGGCUAUAACUGACGCUCAUGCACGAAAGCGUGGGGAGCAAACAGG